UACGUAGGGUGCAGGCGUUAAUCGGAAUUACUGGGCGUAAAGCGUGCGCAGGCGGUUAUGUAAGACAGGGUGUGAAAUCCCAGGGCUUAACCUUGGAACUGCAUUUGUGACUGCAUAGCUAGAGUACGGUAGAGGGGGAUGGAAUUCCGCGUGUAGCAGUGAAAUGCGUAGAUAUGCGGAGGAACACCGAUGGCGAAGGCAAUCCCCUGGACCUGUACUGACGCUCAUGCACGAAAGCGUGGGGAGCAAACGAGG
rnacentral:rRNA from 1 species